CUGGGACCACAGGCACAUGCCACCACACCUGGCUCAUUUUUGAAUGUUUUAGGACAUGUAGCCCAGGCUGGUCUUGAACUCCUGGGCUCAAGUGAUCCUCUUCCCUUGGCCUCCCAAAGUGCUGGGAUUACAGGUGUGAGUCACUAUGCCCAGCCUGAGUGUCUUUGUGUGUAUUUGGUGGGGGUGGGGGGAAAAGUGUCACUCUGUUGCCCAGGCUGGAGUGCAGUGGCGCAAUCUCCGCUUACUGCAGCCUCUGCCUCCUGGGUUCAGGGGACUGUCCUGCCUCAGCCUCCAGAGUAGCUGGAAUUAUAGGUAUGCACCAUCACGCCUGGCUAAUUUUUGUAUUUUUGGUAGAGAUGGGGUUUCACCAUGUUGGUCAGGCUGGGUCUCAAACUCCUGACCUCAAAUGAUCUGCCCGCCUCAGCCUCCCAAAUUGCUGGGCUUACAGGUGUAAGCCACUGUGCCCAGACUGGGUGUCUUCAUUUUUAAGGCAGAGGUAAAAUAGUGCUUUCUCCAUAGCAUUGUGGAGAGGAGUAAAUGGAAAGCUCUGAGUCAAAAGCUUGGCUCAGACCCCAGCCCUCAGAGGGGCUGGAAGGACUGGGCACAGUGGUGAUGAUGAGGAGGGAGGAGUCUAGGAUGAUCCCAGGUUUCUGGGUGACUGGGUGGAUGAGGGAGCAUUAAUAAAGACAGAUGAUACCAGAGAAAGAACUGGGCUGGGAGACAGGUAAUUUCUUCAGUUCAGUUCCUACUGAGUUGAAGUCGCCUCAGAACUUUUCAGGAGGAAAGGCCCAGUUGGAAGUUAAGAAAUGGCUUUGAAUACUUGGCUGGAAACAGUCUCAGCUGUAAGCAGCUGUGGCAAAUGUGCAUGUGUUAGGAUGCCUGGAGAGAGUGUAGCUUGAGAGGACAAGAAGUGCUAAGAGGACCAAAACUCCAAACUGGGUGUUAAAUGCUGAGGCAAGCCAGGAAAGACUGAGAUUGUGCAUCCUGAGAGGUCGAGGGAAGACCUGCAGAAAGGAGCUUCCUGGAAACCAACAGAGAAAUAGAAGAUAAUGUUUCCAUCUUCGACGGCUUUACAAUCUGAUGAAGGGGCAAAAACAGAAACACAUGCAACAACCAAAGGACUUUCUCAAGACAAAAUACCAGUGAGGACCAAUUAAAGCAGCCCCAAAUAGUGUGGAUAUGCCGGAGGACUUCAGCGAGGAGGAGACACGGGAGGCAGGCAAGGUGCACCACGGGCUGUGGAGAAGACGUACUUGAGCUGGGUUUGCAGGAAGGAAUGCAUCUGGGCUGGCCAGAGGCAGGGAAAGGGCAUCCAGGUCACGGCUGGGCUGGAGACCAAGGUUCUGCAGGGUGGAGUCCACUCCUCCACUGUAGGGUGGAGCAAGCCCUGUUCAGAAAUAUAGAUGGUUUCAGGCAGAAAUGUAGAGGCAUUUUGCUCUGAUGGAGCAAAUAUUUUCUUCUAAAUAGGGACUUUCUUCUCUCGUGUCAAUUUUCUUUUUAAAAUUUUCCUUUAUUAUUGGGCUCCAUUCCUCAGCUCCUUCUGUCACUCUAGAAGCUCGUUUCCUCCUGCCUCUUCCCUUUGGGUGAUAUGCACACUCGAAUGUCCCCAGUCAGAGGCAGACACUUUCCAGGCUGAUUUUAAUUCUUUAGGAGCCUGAAAGGUUGGAAAGAGCAUGGAAUCUGAGCCUAGGGCCCUGGUUGGAGCUGCUGCCAGUUACAAGCUGUGAAACUAUAAGCAAAUCAUGGCAUUCCACUGCGGUUGCCUCUGGAAUGGAGAGGAUGCUACUCUGCUCCUUCAGUCUGUGACGCAUGCUAUGUGAGGUCAUCUAAGGGAAGCCAUUAGGGAAACAGUGACAGCACAGGGGUGAGGAGCUCACAUAACUCCUUGGCCUACACGGGAUUGAGCUUCAGGGGCCACUGUGGGGUCGACGUCAGGGGUUCUGUGGGGUGGUCAGGGGCUCUGUCGGGUGGAGUCAGGAAGUCUGUGGGUGGAAUCAGGGGCUCUUAGGGCUGGAGUCAGUGCUGUGGGGUGGAGUCAGGGCUGUGGGUAGAGUCAGGGAUCUGUUGGGUGGAGUCAGGAACUCUGUGGGGUGGAGUCAGGGCUCUGUGGGGUGGAGUCAGGGCUCUGUGGGGUGUACUCAGGGCUCUCUGGGGUGAAGUCACGGCUCUGUUGGGUGGAGUCAGGGCUCUGGGUGGAGUCAGAGCUUUGUGGGUGGAGUCGGGGCUCUGUUGGGUGGAGUCAGGGGUUCUGUUUGGUGGAGUCAGGGCUCUGUGAGGUGGAGUCAGGGCUCUGUUGGGUGGAGUCAGGCAUUCUGUGGGUGGAGACAGGGCUCUGUGGGUGGAGUCAGGGAUUCUGUUGGGUGGAGUCAGGGCUCUGUUAAGUGGAGUCAGGGCUCUGUGGGAUGUAGUCAGGGAUCUCUGGGGUGAAGUCACGGCUCUGUGGAGUGGAGUCAGAGCUUUGUGGGUGGAGUCAGGAGUUCUGUUGGUUGGAGUCAGGGCUCUGUGAGGUGGACUCAGGGGCACGGAGCUUCUUAUCGGAGGCUGUCUGGAGGGAGUCUGUGGUUCUGGCACGGCGAUGGUUGUGGGGUAGUGAAGCUGCACUGGGGGCUGGUGCCUGCUUGCUGACUGAUGAGCAUUCUGGGGACUGACGUGGGGAGCAAAAGCCUACCUCUCUCUCUACCUGUUUAAGGCCCACGACAUGGCUACAGAGUGGAGAAGGUGCGAAGGCCAACCUCCCUUCUGAGAGGACAGCGGGGGCCUGGGCAUGUCGGCCCGGUGCUCCUUGAAUCUCAGGAGAAAAGGCCUAGGACGCAGAGGGAUGGUGGAUGCUGGGUCCUGGCAGGUGGAUAGAGGGAACCGAGACGGGUAGAAAUUCCUGGAAAAUGAAGAGAGCGCUAUUUCAGAGGGGGAACAUCUCUGAAUCAGAGGAGGCAGCUGCUGACUUUUGCUGAAAGGGAAAGGAACCUUCAGGACAGCGGUGGUGGCAUCAGCUGGGCCGCCUAGGGCUCCGCAGCCCUAAGCCUGCACCGGCCCUGUCCUUCCCUUGGGGCGACGGGACCUCCCCGCAGGGCCCUGCGCAUGGGGACUGGGGCAUGGGACAGGGCUCCGCAGAGAAGACCUGCCUGAGCCGGGCAGCUGGGCCCACCAAGGCCGCCAGACAGCCCAAACCCUUCCCAGGCUGCAGGGAGGCCCCAGCUGGUGUGGCCUCAAACCGGCAUCUGUUUCUUCACUCCUGGGGCUCCCUUUGAACUUGAACCUUGCAAAGCCCAAGUAACAAUAAAAAAGCCAAGGAACAGGUGCUGCUGCAGAGGACGGAGGACAGGCCGGCUGGGAGCCUCAGGGGGUGUCGCCUUUGUUUCAGCGCCUUCAGUCUCCCCGCUUCCGCAUGAAACUGCUCGGGACCCACGUCAGCGCCAAGUUCCAACAAGGAAAAUAUAGCAGCGCACAAUAUGUUGUUUUGGCAGAAAGCUAUGAAUUUUAGUAUGGAAUGUCUGUCACAGGGCCCAUCCAAUUAACUCACUUGUCGAGAAAUCAGAAUAAAUAGUUGAGAGGAGGCGACUGCAGCUUUGCUCAGACCUUUAUUUCUCAUUUGUUUUCAUGGUUAAGCAGGUCUGCAGUCACCAGGAUGUAUAUUUAGGGCAGGGAAGGAGAGAAUACGCAUCUUCACGGUGGUUCUCCCUUUGGAGGGAAAGAAGGGUAUUUUCUAUGCAUUUUGGAGGAGGGAAUUCUGGUGAGCUUCUGUUUUAGAAAAGUGUUAUGGAGGCAACCCUGGCAAACUCCCUCGAGUUUUGGACUCAGUGCUGUUGAGUCUGAGACAAGGACUGGGCCCUACCAGAGAAGUUUCUCUUCCUCCUUAGGUUAUCCACGGUGGCUGAGACAAGGUCUUGCUAUGUUGCCCAGGCUGGUCUUGAACUCCUGGAUGCAAG
rnacentral:lncRNA from 1 species